GGGGGGCGCGGACACGCGUGGUGUGCGCGGUCCCCGUGCAGCCCGCCCUGCCGCAGGCUGCCCUCCACCCCCAGCCCCAGCUCCAGCCCCCAGCCCGUCCCCACUGCUCAUAUCCGAGCAGAUAGACCCCGGCCCCACCCUCCCGUGCUGAGCCUCCUUUCUGCCGGGAAGUUCGUCCGGGAGUCAAACAUCGCUGCCCUCCGGUUGCGCCACGGAGGGGGAGCCAGGAUAGGAAGCUGCCGUGAAAUCAGGAAGCUGAGCGCGCCGGGCCCCGGAUCCGAACAGAAAAGGCUUCCACCCGCUCCCCUGAGGGAUCCCACGCUGAGGGACUGAACCCCGCACCCCAGCCGCGCUCACCACCCCCACCCUCUCGCCUGGGCUGCUCUGACCUGGGGGUGGUCUAUAUGCUCUUAAUCUCUGCAUUUCCUCUUUCCAGUGAGGAGGAGUUUCACUGCUGUCAUCAUCAUCUGACUCAGAACAGGAUCUUGAUCUUGGAGUUCACUUUCUGAAGAUGAUUCUGAAGAAGAGGAGGAAUUGGAAGAGGAAUCCGAGCCUUCUGAAUGAAUUCCAGAACUGCCACUCAAAGUGCCCUAUGAGGAGCUGUGGUAACAAGGAAAUGUUCUCAUGACUCAAAAAUCAGUGGAAAAAGGUACAGGAUGAGAAGCCUUGUUUCCCAACCCUAUCAACAGAAACAAGAUCUUGCUCUGUUGACCAAGCUGGAGUGCAGUGGUGCAAUCAUAGCUCAUGGCAGCCUUAAACUCCUGAGCUCAAGCCAUCCUCCCACCUCACCCUUCCAAGUACAGGUGAGCACCACCAUGCCUGGCUAAUUAAAAAAAAAUUGUUUUUUGUAGACAGGGUCUUGCUAUAUUGCCCAGGCUGGUCUCAAACUCCUGGGUUCAAGCAAUCCUCCUGCCUGGGCCUCCCUAAGUACUGGGAUUACUGGUAUGAGCCACCAUGCUUGGUCAUACUUCUACUCUUCAGCAAUCUACUAUUUUUCUUUUCUUUUCUUUUUUUUUUUUUUUGAGACAGGGUCUCACUCCGUCACCCAGGCUGACAUGCAGUGGUAUAAUCUCUACUCACUGCAACCUCUGCUUCCCAGGCUCAAGCAGUCCUUCAGUCUCAGCCUCCCAAAUAGCUGGGACUACAGGCAAAAACUAAGAGAGCCACCAUGCCCAGCUAAUUUUUUUAUUUUUUGUAGAGAUGGGGUUUCGCCAUGUAGGCCAGGCUGGUCUCGAACUCCUGACCUCAAAAUGAUACACCCGCGUCUGCCUCCCAAAGUGCUGGGAUUACAGGCGUGAGCUAUUUUUAAUUCUUAAUAGAAAAUAACCCUGUUAUCUAAAGCAUGGAUUCACUACAAAAUAAAGAUUAAGGUCCAUCAAGGCUUUCUAGUAACACUUAUUUAAAAAAAAAAAAAAAAAAGAUCAAUCAAGGCUAAAAACAUUAAAAAGAGAGAGAAGGCAACCAAAUUUCCAGGAUUAUCUCAUCCCUUUGCUCGAAAC
rnacentral:lncRNA from 1 species